AGUGAACGCUGGCGGUAGGCCUAACACAUGCAAGUCGAACGGCAGCACAGUAAGAGCUUGCUCUUACGGGUGGCGAGUGGCGGACGGGCGAGGAAUACAUCGGAAUCUACUUUUUCGUGGGGGAUAACGUAGGGAAACUUACGCUAAUACCGCAUACGACCUACGGGUGAAAGCAGGGGAUCUUCGGACCUUGCGCGAUUGAAUGAGCCGAUGUCGGAUUAGCUAGUUGGCGGGGUAAAGGCCCACCAAGGCGACGAUCCGUAGCUGGUCUGAGAGGAUGAUCAGCCACACUGGAACUGAGACACGGUCCAGACUCCUACGGGAGGCAGCAGUGGGGAAUAUUGGACAAUGGGCGCAAGCCUGAUCCAGCCAUACCGCGUGGGUGAAGAAGGCCUUCGGGUUGUAAAGCCCUUUUGUUGGGAAAGAAAAGCAGCAGGUUAAUACCCCGCUGUUCUGACGGUACCCAAAGAAUAAGCAACGGCUAACUUCGUG
rnacentral:rRNA from 1 species